rnacentral:lncRNA from 1 species
AUCACUCCAGCAAAAGGAGAGAAAGACUCCUCUUAAAGUUCUUGUUAGGCAAACCCUAGCACAGCAACCUUAAAGGAGAGAUAACUGCAUUAUCAGUUUUAAGUCAAAGGAAAUGUGAUUGACCCAUACACCCAUUGCCUUAAGGUUUUGGGUGAAAGAUGUGGUGUCCAAUCCACUUUGGUGUGCUCAUGUAAGCCCAAUGUGAUGAUCCCCGGGGUAUCAGAGCCGAUGGUUUGUGCGGUUAUGGUGAUGACUCCUUGUGUCGAAAGUCUUCCUAGCAAUGGUGGCUAGGCGGCGUGUCCCGUUGAUGGAGAUCCAACGGCGGUGCAAGUAAUUGGAGGUUUGCGCUUGAGAUAGACUCACACUUGAGGGGGAGAUUGUUGGGAUGUCAAGUGUGAGUAAAGAAGUCCCACAUUGAAUGGUUAGAGGAGAGAUGAGCACUCUAUAAGUGAGAGGACCCAUACACCCAUUGCCUUAAGGUUUUGGGUGAAAGAUGUGGUGUCCAAUCCACUUUGGUGUGCUCAUGUAAGCCCAAUGUGAUGAUCCCCCGGUUUAUCCUCUUGCGACCCAACAUAAUGUCCGGAAUCUCAGACGCUAUUCGAAGACGAGGCAUAAAUGUUUUGAUUA